rnacentral:rRNA from 1 species
UGUUACUUCCGUUACUAGGUCUUGGAGUAUUAGAAUUUUUUGAAAUUUAACGGAUUUGGCGGCAAGAUAGACCGUUUAGAGGAACCUGCCCUGUAAACGAUGAGCCACGAUAGACCUUACUUUCUUUUGUAAUCAGUUUGUAUACCGCUGUUGACAGUUAGUUUUAAUAGGAAACUUUCUAUAAUGGUAAUUCCAUAGACUUCAAGUAAAGGUGCAGCUUAUAAGAAAGUUAGAGGUGGGUUACAAUUUAUGGAAAAAUCACGGAUAACAAUAAUAAAAAUUGUUUGAAGGUGGAUUUAAUUGUAAAGUUUGGGAGAACUUGAUAUGAGCACUAACUUGU